UUGAAAGAUUAAAAGACUUCAACUUACGUACCCUAAGGAUUUGAGGACUUCAACUUGCGUAGUUGAAGGAUUUGAAAACUUCAACU
rnacentral:pre_miRNA from 1 species